AAUCCAUAGGUUAAUGAGGCGAACCGGGGGAACUGAAACAUCUAAGUACCCCGAGGAAAAGAAAUCAACCGAGAUUCCCCCAGUAGCGGCGAGCGAACGGGGAGGAGCCCAGAGCCUGAAUCAGCAUGUGUGUUAGUGGAAGCGUCUGGAAAGGCGCGCGAUACAGGGUGACAGCCCCGUACACAAAAGCGCAUGUGCUGUGAGCUCGAUGAGUAGGGCGGGACACGUGGUAUCCUGUCUGAAUAUGGGGGGACCAUCCUCCAAGGCUAAAUACUCCUGACUGACCGAUAGUGAACCAGUACCGUGAGGGAAAGGCGAAAAGAACCCCGGCGAGGGGAGUGAAAAAGAACCUGAAACCGUGUACGUACAAGCAGUGGGAGCACAGGUUUACCUGUGUGACUGCGUACCUUUUGUAUAAUGGGUCAGCGACUUAUAUUCUGUAGCAAGGUUAACCGCAUAGGGGAGCCGGAGGGAAACCGAGUCUUAAUUGGGCGUUAAGUUGCAGGGUAUAGACCCGAAACCCGGUGAUCUAGCCAUGGGCAGGUUGAAGGUUGGGUAACACUAACUGGAGGACCGAACCGACUAAUGUUGAAAAAUUAGCGGAUGACCUGUGGCUGGGGGUGAAAGGCCAAUCAAACCGGGAGAUAGCUGGUUCUCCCCGAAAGCUAUUUAGGUAGCGCCUCGUGAAUUCAUCUCCGGGGGUAGAGCACUGUUUCGGCUAGGGGGCCAUCCCGGCUUACCAACCCGAUGCAAACUGCGAAUACCGGAGAAUGUUAUCACGGGAGACACACGGCGGGUGCUAACGUCCGUCGUGAAGAGGGAAACAACCCAGACCGCCAGCUAAGGUCCCAAAGUCAUGGUUAAGUGGGAAACGAUGUGGGAAGGCCCAGACAGCCAGGAUGUUGGCUUAGAAGCAGCCAUCAUUUAAAGAAAGCGUAAUAGCUCACUGGUCGAGUCGGCCUGCGCGGAAGAUGUAACGGGGCUAAACCAU
rnacentral:rRNA from 4 species